rnacentral:rRNA from 1 species
UGGGGAAUAUUGCACAAUGGGCGGAAGCCUGAUGCAGCGACGCCGCGUGGGGGAUGAAGGCCUUCGGGUUGUAAACUCCUUUCGACAGGGACGAAGCGUAAGUGACGGUACCUGUAUAAGAAGCACCGGCUAACUACGUGCCAGCAGCCGCGGUAAUACGUAGGGUGCGAGCGUUGUCCGGAAUUACUGGGCGUAAAGAGCUCGUAGGUGGUUUGUCGCGUCGUCUGUGAAAUUCCGGGGGUGUANUCUCGGCCCGGGCAGGCGGGCCGCGACNNNNUNNGGCUCCUGAUCUUGGGGCGGAUCGAGGGCGGAUCGGGGACGCAAGCCGGUAAGGCCAAACCANNGACCCGNGCGAGCGGUUGGCCAUAAUACCUGAGGAGCGAAAGCAUGGGUAGCGAACAGGAUUAGAUACCCUGGUAGUCCAUGCCGUAAACGGUGGGCGCUAGGUGUAGGGGGCUUCCACGUCUUCUGUGCCGUAGCUAACGCAUUAAGCGCCCCGCCUGGGGAGUACGGCCGCAAGGCUA